rnacentral:rRNA from 1 species
UACGUAGGGUGCAAGCGUUUAAUCGGAAUUACUGGGCGUAAAGCGUGCGCAGGCGGUUUUGUAAGUUUGUCGUGAAAUCCCCGGGCUCAACCUGGGAAUGGCGAUGAAGACUGCAAGGCUAGAAUCUGGCAGAGGGGGGGUAGAAUUCCACGUGUAGCAGUGAAAUGCGUAGAGAUGUGGAGGAACACCGAUGGCGAAGGCAGCCCCCCUGGGUCAA